rnacentral:lncRNA from 1 species
AUGUAGAUGAAACAGGCAUUCAUCAACUUAAAUAUCUCAAGUGUGUUAUAAAAGAAACCUUAAGACUGCACCCUGUUAUACCUUUAUUGAUUCCAAGAGAAAGUAUGAAGAAUUGUGUGGUUAAUGGAUUUGAAAUACCUGCAAAGACCAGAGUCAUUGUGAAUGCAUGGGCAAUCGGGAGAGAUCCUAAUCAUUGGGUUGAGCCUGAAAAGUUUGAGCCUGAAAGGUUUGUCAGCAGUUCAGUUGAUUUCAUAGGGACAAAUUUCGAGUUCAUCCCAUUUGGGGCAGGAAGGAGGGUAUGUCCAGGCAUAUUAUUUGCUCUGCCAACUGUAGAGCUACCGCUUGCUCAACUGUUGUUCCAUUUUGAUUGGAAGGUACCAAGGGGAAUGAAGCAGGAAGAUAUAGACAUGACUGAGGUGUUUGGUGUAUCUGUGAGAAGGAAAAAUGAUCUUGUCCUAGUUCCAAGUCUUUACCGUGCUUCCACUACUGUUGCCUAGAGGCAGGAACAACCUUAGCUUAUGCUGCAUUAUUCUAUUAGGCUGGGAUUGAAUCUCAAGUUUGUUUGUUUGCUUAUAUAUGUAUUGUUAUUUAGCCUAAUAGCCCACCACUUAUAUUUGUAUUUAUAGCCGACGCUAUCAGUUUUCAUGCUUCUUGUGCAUGGUAAAUGUAACUGUAAGGGCCAAUUUCGUCCGGCCAUCAGAGGCGGCGGUCUCUGUUGCCGAUGACCGACAAUCACGGCGAAGACCCACCGUCCUUAUGACCGACCUAGGGGUAUUGAAAGAAAAGAAAAAAUGAAGGAAGUUUUAAAAAAAAAAAAAAAGAACAGAGCACAAAUAAUUUUUUUUUUCAGAUUUUUUAAAACUUAAUAGGGUGUGCGACACGACUCCAUUUUAGCUUGGUCUCAGAAGCCCCAAAAAGACAUCGUUUUGAUAUAACUCAAAGACUCGACCCGGAUCCCCUCAGGAUCCGUGUGCUUUUUUAAGGAUGGGAUCAUUUCUGCCUAGGUCCUUCCACUUUUAGGCACUUUUAAUGUUGUCUUGAAUUUGAUUUUUUUUUCUUUUUAAAUUCCACCAUUUAAUUUAAUUUUUUUUAAUUUUUGGUCCUCUUACCGUUGACCCUUUGGGUAGUGACAUGUGUAUAGAGGAUUAGGAUAAUUGUCCUUUUAAUCCCUACAUUUUAAUUUAUUUUAAUUUAUCCUUCUUUUUUUUUGUUUUUCUUGUCAUUUAUACUUCCAGUUUCAUUUAGUCUCAAUUUAGUAUUUUAUUUAUUUAAUUCACCCCCUUUAUUUUUUGCUUUUUAAUUUCCAGCACUUUUAAUUUAUGACUAUUUACAUUUUUGCCCCUUUAAAUUAUGCAAUUUUUAUUUUCAUCCUUGAGUGGUUAUAUUUUUAAAUUUUUGACAUUAAAUAUGGUGUUAAUUAUGUCAUGGUAUUAUUACUAUUAUUAAUAUCAUGUUAUUAUUAUCGUCAUUGACUAUUUUACCCUCAUUACUAUUACUACAAUCAUUUUAUUCUUUUAUUAUAAUAUUAUUUCAUUUGUAUCUAUGUCGCUAUUUUAUUUUUGCCAUUAUUUUAUUGUAUAUUAUGCUUACAUACACUUGUUUAUUUUGUACCACGCUCAAAUAAGUUAAUCGCAUGUAGCAUUAGUGUAGCAUCGAUUUUCGCGCAAUGCCUAAGUAGUCUUUAAAACCGAGGCAAUGUUCUUUAUCUAGGGGACUCGAGAAGUUGUGCCCCUAACUCAUUGGGUAUGACAUUUUCCUCGAACCAAUGUAAUUGAACAUCCAUAUUAAGAUCAAAAUUUAUAAUGUUUAAAUAAUAAUUAGACGACAAAUACUCCUUAUUCUCGAGGAUUCAUGAUGUUGUGCCCCUAACUUACGGGACACGGCCCUUAUUCUUAGUUGACUCGAAAUAUAAGAGGUUGCAUUUUAAAUUCUUCUCAAAUUCUUAAUUUUCGACACUAAGACAUCAAGUAAUCAACUAGGUACCAAUUUUGGGCAUUAUGAGGGUGCUAAUCCUUCCUCAUACGUAAUCGACUCCCGAAUCUACUUCUUGGAUUUUGUAGACCGAAAAUCACAAUUUUAGUAAUUUUACUAAUUUAUUAAAAUGAUUAAAUUUCGAGGUGAUCCAAUCACAGCUUGAUAAAAAGCAUUGGUGGCGACUCUGUCUUCGUUUUAAAAUAAAAGUUGGGAGGCGAGAAAAAGGUUUCGACAAUAACAUUAUUAUUUCUAGAUUUGUUUAAUGUUGGUAGCAGUAUUUGUGUUGUGCUCGUAUUUUCCUUUUAUAUUUGUUAUUCUGUGAAAGCAGAAGGAGGGGUGGUGGAGGGAGUUUAUUUUUGUGGAUCAUUGAACAGCAGAAAGAAUUUGAUGAUUUUAUUCAUUUCAAUUAAUACAUACAGGGGGUUAAUUCGUGUUUCCAACAGUUCUAUGUUAAUCGCUUGGUCUUUCCUCCUCUCCCUUACCACCCUAUAGUUUCUUUCCCCUUUUUUGCCUUUAACGUGCUUAAGUCGUGGAAUUGAAUGAAAGAAUUGUAGAUCAGAAUUGAGUACUGAAAUAUGAAGUCAGCUGCUAAUUUUUUUAAAUGGGUUAUUAUCAUAUAUGUUCCUUUUUUGUAUAAUGUUUGGGCGCAUUUGAAUCCAUGUCCUCCUACACUUGUAUUAAUGCCUAAAUCAAUCGAAUUAAGACUCAGUCGGUAAAGCUAAAUCAUUUUUAUUUUGGGAUAAUAAGUGAUAAUAUCACAAAUUCAAAAAUUUUAAAUUUAAUGUGAUUUAAAUAAUAUUUAAAUUUGAAUAUUUUUGUUGAGACAGAUUUUAAGUAGUGGCUGGACCAAUGUCAACUGAUUGGUACUAUUUACUUAGAGAACUUGCCUUCUUUAAAUUAACAAAUUUUAACACUAUAACUCUUGUGGAUACUUUGGAUGACAGUUAGUCCAUCCUUAAUAUCUAAAUGACAGAUAGCAACAUAUCUUAGAGAUUGAUUUGAAUUUGGAUAAAAGGAAUCAACUUCUCAAGUUUAACGGAUUAGAUCGAAUUAGGUAGAACUUGAAAGCGUAUACUGAAGAUUGAAGACUUAUCUUAAGCCAUUUUGAAGGUAUUACUUAUGCAUAUUAUCAUGCUAGUUUCAAGGAAAGAUUGAUUGUAAUUGAUAUGGUAUUCUAGCAUGUCUAAAUUACUUAUAUAUUGUUGAGACUUGUAUAAGUUGUACGCUAAAUUAAGAACACUUUAUUUUGUUCAUUUUUCAAGGGGGGAAAUUUAGAGGUUAAAAUCACUUGUUGUACAAUGUGUUAACAUAGUGAAUAUUUUUGCCUUGGUUCUUUUUCAGUGCUUGAAGCAGUUGAAACUAAUCUUAAUACUGCUUGUUUUUUUCCCUACAAAUAUCAAUUUUGGACUCAACAAAGUGAGACCUAUUGCGAGUAAAGGAGGUUCCUGAUGAGUGAACAAAAACAUAAAGAUGAUGGGUGAAUGUUAGUGAUUUAGCAACGUGACUCGACAGAGGCAAUUGUGUUAGUUAGCUGGCUUGUUAUUAGAUUGCGGAAUUCAAUAGAGGCAAAAAGCGAAAGAGUUGUAUUAGAAUUACUAAAAAUAUAGAGAGAGUUUGACAUUAAAAUUCUAAUAUAAGAUCUCUAAGUUUAUCAAGUUAAGUGAACAUUAGUGAAACUGUAGGGUUGUAUAUGCAAAUAACCGAAAGAUAUUAGAAGCCUUAGCUAAAUCAUAUUGAAGUAACAUGCAAGUUUUGGAUGUAUUUUAACACGCAAAUUACGUAUACAUGAUUCAAACACCAAAGCAUCAUUUACAUGUUGUAAGACCCAAAUCAGGCCCAAAAAUUUAAAACACCCCAACCCAAUACCCAAAUAACCCAACAAAAUAAAACCAAGCCCAAUUACAUCAAGCCCAAAAUACCCUAGCCCAUUUUCAGAAAAAAUGGCAGCCACCUAACCCUAGGUGCGCCGCACCUAGGGUCUUUGCCCACUGCCACCACCGACUCACCUGCUCCACCGCGCGGCACGCCACCAACUGCUCCGCUACCUCCUCCAUCACCUGCAACAAUAGCAGAAUAAAAACAAAUAAAGAAAGAUAGGAAAAGGUUUUUGGCUAUAUAAGCCGAACAUGAACAAAAAAAGGGGGGGGGUCUCUAUUUUUAUUUUUUUUCUACGAGAUUUUGGGGGGCUUCCAACAACUUUUGGAAAAAAAAAAAAAAGAUCCAAUCGAAAGAAAAUAAAAAACAGAUUCAAAGUGUUGUUCUUUUUUUUCUUCUUUUCGAUCUGGAAGGUUUUUUAUUUUAUUCUCUUUUCUUUUCGAUUACAUAUAUAUAAAUAUAAAUAAAGAUAGCAAAAUAAAGAAAAUGAGAAAAAAAUUACCUUUUUUGUUCCCGACCACCGCGCACAGUGGCCGGCCCGACGGCGCCGACGGUGGAGGAUUGCCGGAACCCAUGGCCGGACUUGGGGCCUGAGAGAGAAUGAGAAAGUUCUCUCUUUGUUUUUUUUUAAAGUGAUGAAACUGAUUUGUUUUUCUGUUUUUUUUUAUAUUUAUACUAAACAUAAAACGACGUCGUUUUGGUGGGGAGGAUCCGCGUGUUGACCCGACCCGACCCGGAGGAUCCGCGUGUUUUUAGUAUUCGGGCUAUUUGCACGCGCAAUCCCCCUGAUUUUGAAGCGUAUUACAGUUUGGUCCUAUUUCGUUAUUUUUCUUUUAUUUUGAUCUAGCCCUGAAAUUUUACUCUUGUUUCAUUUUAGUCCACUGAAGUGCUGCGUUUUAGAGCUUUGGUUUAUUUACUGUUUCGGUCCCCCUCUUUUGGCGCGCGUCACGAUUUAGUCUCUUGUUUUUUUUAUUUCGAUUUCGCCCCGUAUUUUUGCUUUUACUUCGAUUUAGUCCUUUUUUAAACACUUUAAUUAUUUUCUUCAUUAUUUUAAUAUAUUAUUAUCUAUUAUUAUUAUUAUUAUUAUUAUUGCUUGAUAUUGUUAGUUUUAUUUUUUUUCCAUUUACGUAUUCAUUAUUUUAUUAUCUCAUAAAUUAAUAUAUUUAUUGCAUUUGUUUAUUUUAUAUGUAUAUAUAUCAUUUUGAUUAUUUGUUAUUUACUUCAAGUUUUUAUACUUUCAAACUAUUCUUGUUAUUAUUAUUAUUAUUAUUAUUAUUAUUAUUAUUAUUAUUAUUAUUAUACUAGUUCAUAUACUUGUUUAUUGUUUUCAUAUAUUAUUUUAUUUCAUUAUGUGCCAUUAUUUAAACUCUUUUAUUAUAUAUUAUGUUCUAUAAUAUAUUAAUUUAUGUUUUUAUAUUACUUCAAUAUUGUCUAUGUAUCUUCUAUUUUAUAAAUACUUUCUUCUAACAAAAAGGUUUUCUCAUAUAUACUUCUAUGUUUUAAAUCACAAAUAUUUUAUACAAUAUUACUUUAUGUCUAUAUCCAUAUAAAUUGUAAUAAGCUUUUAUUCCACAUACAUGUCCCUGAUAUAUAUAUAUAUAUAUAUAUAUUAUAAUCUACAUACGUAUACAUGUAAAUAUUUAUAUUUUUAUAUCUUAUAAUUUAUGUAUAUAUUUUAAUAAUUUUAUGUACAUACAUAUAAAUUUCUCUUAGAUGUACAUGCACAUAUCCAUUUUUUAUAAUUUUCAUCUAUUUUCCUUUAUUGUUUUUAUGUUCAUUUAUGUAUUUAUUUAUAUGUCCAUUUUUUAUGUUUUGGUUUAUUUAUUUAUUUAUUUAUUUGCUAUGGUAUAUACAUGAUUGAUUUAUUUUAUUCUUCGUUUUUUUUUUCAUAUUAUUUUCAUUCAUAUCAUCAUAUUUAUUAUUCCAUUAUGCAUAUUAACACCAUGCUUCAAAAGGAAUUUUUUAAAAGAGGCAAUAUUUAGCGUUUGGAAAUUCGAGAAAACGUGCCCUAAGGUGCUGGGUGUCGAUUUUUCUCAUUCAACCAAAUGGCUAAAUAUCCUUUUAAAAAUUUCAAAAUAAGGCAAUGUUUUGCGUUUGGAAAUUCGAGAAAACAUGCCCUAAGGUGCUGGGUGUCGAUUUUUCUCGUUCAACCAAAUGGCUUAAUAUCCUUUUAAAAAAUUUUCAAAAUAAGGCAGUGUUUUGCGUUUGGAAAUUCGAGGAACGUGUCCUAAUGUGCUGGGUUUCGAUUUCUCGUUUGACCAAAUAGCUAAAUAUCCUCUUGAACUUCAAUCCAUGUCAUCCAAUUUUUUUUUAGGAUCGUAUUUUAAAUCUCUCUAAAAUUUUCAGUUUUUCGACACUAAGACCUUAAGUAAUCAACUAGGUACUAAUUUUGGGCGUAUCGAGGGUGCUAAUCCUUCCUCGUGCGUAACCGACUCCCGAACCCGUUUUUCUGAAUUUCGUGGACCAAACUUGUUGUUUUAAUAAAAUCAAAUUGUUUAUUAAAAACAACCACUUUUCGAGGUGAUCCGAUCACACCUCAUCAAAAAGGAUCGGUGACGACUCCCACUUUCGUUUUCAUUUUCCAAAACCCAAGUCGACCCCGUUUUUCAAUCAAAAAAAAUGGUGUCAACAUAUGUUAUAUAAAAUAAGCUUAUGCCUUAUCUUCAAUUUUAUAUUGCCACAAAUCUCAUCUUUCCAUUCACCACGAAUCCCAUCAUCAUGCAUGUUUUGGAUGUAUUUCAACAUCUGUUCUAUGCUCUCUUGGUGGCUUUGGCAAAAAGGGAGAGUCAAUCCUCUAUGAUUAAGGUGGGUAGGUGCUGGUAAAACUUCAUAUGUGCAUUUCCACAUGAAAGUUUUAGCUUUGGAGGCAGCUUGCUUUUCCCUUUCUUAUCUGCAUGUUGAGCAUGUUGGGUUAAUGUGCUUCUUCCUGUUACCAAUUUCAUAAACACUUGUUAGUGUCAACGCUCCGUAUUAUGUUAUAAUAUGUUUAUUUUUUAAAAUUAAACCAAAUAUAUAUUAUAAAAUUUUAUAAAUUUAAAUCUUUUAUUGUGUGGGAGAGUGCCUCUUAUUUUAAUCAAACAGUAUUCCUCGUCCCAGUGAGCAACAAGGCUUCGUCCCGAUGACAUAUCAAGCCACGUCACGACGUGUAGUCUAAAUUUUUUGACUUUUUUUCUCCCAGUUAAACUUUGUUUUAGUAUCUCACUUAAAUUUUGAUUAUACUAGCGUUCUUGUAGUCAUAUAUGCUACGAAUUUCAACCUAUUUAGUUUCUUCAGGUUUUACAAUAACAGAAAUAUUUAGAUUGAGAGAAUUUUGUUUUUUGUUUCGAAGGAUUUUUCUUGUGGAGCUUCGGAUUUUCUUUUAAUUCUCUCCAUCUUUUAUACUCUCAUUUAUUAUAGUGAAAUCUCCUUUUUGCCCAUAGUUUUUUAUCCUUAUUUGAGGAGUUUUUUUUAAUGUUAAAUUGUGCGUGUUCGAUCUUUUCAAUUCUAUUUAAUUUACUUGUUCGUUGCAUACACGAGUUAAUUUCCAAUAUAUUGAAAUAUAUGAAAACUAAUUUUUUACCCUGUCCAUCACACUAGUAUUGUAUAUUUAAUUAUUUCUUAAAAUUUUCAUAAAUUUUAUAACGUUUCACUAAAAAUAUGGUUAUGAAAUUAAGACAUAAUAAUAUAUAAGUUUAAUUUGAAACAUGAUAAUUGAUAUUAGAUUGAAUUUGAAUAAAUAAUAUCUUAAAAUAUAAUUUUAUAUAUAAUUUCUAACUUAAUUUUAAUUGUUAAUUAAUGAAUGUAGAUUGUUGAUUAAAUUUAAAUAUUGUGAUUACUGAUGAAUUUAUUGCAACACUAUUUAUAUUUUUAAAUAUCUAUUUCAAUUAGGGGUAAGCAUUCGAUCGAAUCAAAUCGAAAAUUUUCGAGUUAAUCGAGUUUUCGAAUCUCAUUUUAUCAUCCUAACUUUACUUGAAGUUUUCUCGAAUCGAGUCGAGUGAGAUGGAAUUCAAAUCGAAUCGAAUCGAAUAUAUUUGUUCGAGUUAAAUUUUAAAAAAAUAAUUUUAGGUUCUUAUAACCACUGUCACCCAUUAUAAUAAAAUUUGUCACCUUAAUCAAAUUUUUUAUUAACUUUCAUCACCUCAUAAUUUAUUUAUUAAUUUUUUAUAUACUGGUUAGUUUUUUUGCUUGCUUAGUUGUUUCAGUUAUCUUCAGAUUCUUGUUACUAUGUAUUUUGGAAUUAAAUAUUUUCAGAUUCUUGUUACUAUGUAUUUUGAAAUUAAAAAAUAUAUUAAAUGUAAAAAUAUAAUUUUUUAAUAAAAAUUAUUUUAAAAAUAAAAUACGAAAUUGAUACGAAUAUAAAAUUUUAACACAAAUAUUUUAUGGCAUAAUUAAUAAUUUAAUUUUAAUAUAAAUAAUCAAUAUGACUAAACAAUUCAAUAAUAUAAAUAAUAUAAAAUGUGAAAUUUAAUUUAAUAAUAUAAAUAGUAGAUAUAAAUAAAAUUAUUACUAUUUAUGUUUAGUGAUUUUUUUGGAUAAUUUUGAUUUUUUAUUUGAGAGUAAAGGGUGAGAAGUAAAAGUUUGGGGGGGGGAAAUAAAAAAAAUUUGAGAAUAAAAGUUUGAGGGAAAGUAAAUAGGGAGAGUAAAAUUUUAGAAGGAAAAUAUUAAAAAAAAAAUUAGAGGGGGGAGGGUUUGGGGUAGAUGAGAGGUGAGAUGGGAAGGGAAUAAAAGUUUUUGGGGAAAAGUGGGAGGAAAUAAAAAUUUUGGGGGAAAAUAAAAGGUUUUGAGAAUUUUUGAGAGUAAAAUUUUGAGAAAAAGUAAUUAAGAGAGCAAAAUUUUGGUGGGAAAUGAAUUUUGGGUAGAUUAAGGGGUUGGGAGGGAAGUAAAAAUUUUGGGGGGAAAGUGGGAAGGAGUAAAAGUUUUGAGGGAAAAAUAAAAAGGUUUGGGAGUUUAAGGUAAAAUGUAAAAUAUUAUUGUUUGAUAUUCGAAUUAUUCGAGUUAUUCGAAUUCGAAAACUCAACUCAAUUCGAACUCGAAAUUUGAAAAAAAAAUUCGAGUUGAUCCGAAUAACUCGAUUAACUCGAAUAACUCGAUUCAUUUAACUCGAAAUUCGAAUUUUUUUCAAUUUUCUCGAGUCGAAUCAAGUUUUGCUCACCCUUAAUUUUAAUCUUAAUAAUGUAUGUAACUGCUGCAAUUAAAACUCAUUCUGCCUUUCGAACCGCAAUUCUAUGCCCAUAUGCAACUUUAAUUGCAUUAAUUAAUGAAAUUUAAUUAUAAUAAAACCCAUUCUGCAAUUUUAUGCCUAUAUGCAACCAUUUUUAUUGUAAUCACUACAACAAAAUAGGCCAACGAUGACAAUUUUUUUUACUUAGGACGACGUAAAAAAAGUUGACGUAAAAAAAGUUGACAUAGAUUAUCUCGACGAUUCUCCCGACGAUUCCGAAAACAUCGUUGUUAGCACCGUUGGUAUACAUACCGCAACGCUUUGAAAAAAGCAAUGACAUAAUUCAACAUAGGUCGACCUUUAUUGAAAGGUCGGCAAAGAUCUAAUCAAGGCCGACCUUUAAAAAAGGUUGAGAUAGGAGGAAAUAGGUGACCCAAAAAAGGUCGGAAUAAAGCAUUCAUAUACCUACUUUUAAAGAGUUGGGAUAGACCAUUCUAUGCCAACCUUAAAAAGGUUGGGAUUGACUCGUCUAAGACAACUUUAAACAAGUUCGGAUAGGCCUUACCUGCACCAACACCUUACAUAGUUGGUUCAGGUCCCAUGUUUUUAUGACUUUUUUUCCCGACUUUUGAAUAGCCUACUUUGGUGAAAUAUAAACAAAUUUGUAUGUGUUGAGUUUGGAUAAGUUUGAGACGAUAUUAAUUGAAUAGUUAACUAACAUAAACUAAUCAUAUUAAUACAAAAUUACCACUGAAUAAUGAACUUAUUAGUUUAUAUACAAAAUCCUAAUAGAAGCAGUCAACAUGUUGACAACAUGGUAUUAGUUUGCUGUCCAUUACAACACUUGGUAAUUGCAUUCAGUGAAUGUGUUGCCAACAUGUUGUCUACCUAUUUCCAAUGGCAUCAAAAAAUUCUGGGCCAAUUGCAUUCAUCAACUGCUAUAAUAUAUAUAUAUACAUACAUAAUAUGCAGCAGACCUCAUUCAUCAUCAUCCGAACUAAAUGCCUCAUCAUCAGGCCUUCUAGUUUAAAAUUCAACUACAUUAACAAGUGCAAAAAUAACAAUGUAAUUUUUCUAUUUAAAUGAGUUAGAUGAGAAACAACAUGAACACAUGGGAAGAAUAUUUCAGUAAUAGCCAAAGAAUCAUAACUUGAAGCUAAAUGAACAAUUUUCAUCAGUAUAUCCAUUAAUUAUUGGUUGAGAAAACAAUGAAGACAUCAAUUGAGAAGCUAACGUUCAGUUACAACACAAACAAAUAGUCAAAUAACAACAAUCAAUCUAUAUUAAACCAUCAGGAAACUUAUUGACAAUCUAGUUCUAUUAGUAAGUAUUUCACUUACUCGAUGUCCCAUUUACCAUACAAUCGUUGAGGAGAGUCUUAUACUUCUUCUCACGAGCAUCCAUCAUAAGCCUUCUUCAACAACCUGUUUCGUCGCUUAGAGAAGGUGACUUUCCCUAAAAGGAUGCAUUCAUUUUUAAGGCUUCCCACUUUCAAUUGUCUUUGCAACAUAUUAAUAUACAGUAAAGGGUUUGGUCUGCAGUUGUUUAUAACAUGAUUAAUACCUUGGAUUGAAAAUCAUUUUUCGAACAUAGCUGCGAUGUUUAGUUCUGCAACAAAUUCAGUUAUGGACCCAAUGAUGAAAAGUCUAUCAUCGACGUUUAAGUAGACAAGGUUUCUUUGGAGGUAGGCUGCUCCAACACAAUCCAAAAUAACAUCAACACAUGCCAUUAAUGGUGGAAGACAAAAUUUCUCUUCUUUUCAAUGUUAAAAACCUCUAACAAAGUCGAUUUUAAACACAAACCCUAAAAGCUUAAAACAACAAAAAAAAAUACUCACCAAAAAUUAAGAAGAAAAAAAUAUUUCGAAUGGUUCUAGUUGAGCUCAUAUAUAUAAAGGAAAAUUGUGUAUAGAUAUUCAAUGGAAAUUAUAUUUUAAGGAAAAUCCAGAGAUUUUCCAAUGGAAUUCACAAAUUAAGAAUGUACUACAGUCAAUAAAAGAAAAAAAAUUAUGGUUCAAGGAAGAAGAAAGGAAUAAUCAAAGUUGUAAAAAUGGAAAAAAAAUGAACAAAAAGAGUUCAAAAAGCCCUAAAAGGAUUAACAGAACAAAAAAAAAGAACUUACCUGAUGAAACAAGUAUAAUCCAGAGAAAACAGGUGAGAAACAACCCACAAGGAAAUGAAUAAACCCAGAGAAUGAUAAAGAACAGAAGAAGACUGAAGAAGGAAGGAGGGUUUGACACUUUGAUUUAGGGAUUUUGAUUUAGGAAUGGGUUUGAUUUUGGGAGAAGAAAUGAUACAGGAUUUGAUCUGGGGAAAAUGGUGGGCAGGCAGGGGAAAAUAAAAGCCAAAAGGGUUCUGGACUUCUGGGGGAGAUGAAAAAUAAUAAUAUAAUUUUAAUUAUUAAAAUAAUAUAUUCGAUUUAUUUGAGUUAUUCGAAUUUAAAAAUUCAACUUGAUUCGAACUCAAAAUUUAAAAAAUUUUGAGUUGAUUCAAUUAACUCGAAUAACUCGAUUCAAACAACUCGAAAUUUGAACUUUUUUUUUCAAUUUUUUCGAAUCUAACCGAAUUAAAUUUUACUCACACCUAUUGGUGAUUGUGUCAUUUUGGAAGGGCAUUUUUGAAAAUAUUAAAUUAAGAUUUUAAUCAUUUAUUAUGAGUAAAUUUGAAAUUUAAUCUUUGUAUUUUAAUUUGAUAUGAUUUUUUUUUCAUUUUUAUAAUAUUCUUAAUUAAUUUAAAUGAUGAACAUUGUUAAUUAAUUUAUUAAAAAAACAAAGAAGCAAAGAUUCAAUUAAAGAAUCGAUUUAAUAAAUAAAACUAACAAGCAAUCGAUUCAAAGAAGCAAAGAAUCAAUUUAAAACAACAAUAAUGAUUAUUAAUCAAUUUGAUAUUGAUAGCAAGUUAAUUUUGUGCUUUUAAUGUAUCUAUUUUUAGCUAAUUUUUUAAUAGAAUACUACUAAACUUGUGGUUUCUUACUUAAAAGCUUAUUAGAGAUGAAAUUGGAGUGCCGAAAUUUGAAAUCAAGCAAAAUUGGCUAAAUUGAAACGAAAAACAAAAAUAAAGGCCAAAUUGAAGAGUUGCAAAAUUAGUGAUUGAUUAAAAAUCAGAUUUAGAAAUUGUCAAACUCUAUAUAUAGAAAAAAAAAAGUGAUUUUUGUUGACAUAAUCUUAGAGGAAUCAUGCUAAAUUUGGCACAUAAAAAAUAUAUAAAUAGCAUGUAUUGGUGGCUUGGAAAAACCCACUUGAUUUUACACUUGAAAUUGAAUUGAAUAUAAUUUUUCCUUUAUUUUUCCCACGUUUGUAGCAUUGGCAACGCUUACUGCCAUUUUCUUUGGUGUAAUUACUCCUUAAGUCUAUCCCUUUUUUUUCCUACUUAUUACCAUUUCAUUUAAAUUCAUUCCCACAAUCCAUCAAGCAUGAUUAAUUUCAUGCUCAACUAAAACCUCAUUUAACUUUAGUCUGGUUAUCAUUCCUAUCAAAAUUCGUGAGAUAUGAACCCACACUAAAACCUUUCAACACGGUAUUCGUUAUCUAUCCGGUAUAUGGAAUAGUUACAAUCGUCUUUUAAAGUUAAUGCAAUUUCAAUUCAAAAAGCGCACAUUGGGUUGGAGUUGUUUGGCGUACAGUUGGGAAAACGAGUCGGUCGUUUGCCGAGUUCGAGUUCCAGCGAACAAAUUGGUUUGUCCAGGUGGGUAAGGGCUUGUUGGACCUCCGUCAAGAGAGAUAGUGAUCAGAUUUAAACGAACUACGUGGUUGAGGCCGUUGAUUCGAGUUGGGCUUUUCUAGAUCGCAAGACUGCCGAGAUCUUAAAUCGCGAACACAAGUUACGUGAUUAGAUAAUCGGUAAGUGUUGGUUUGCAAGUCAUACCAGAACCAACUGCAUAAGGAAGAGUUGGCAAUUAGGGCGUCCUUGAUUGCUAUAACCAACUUAUUGUUAAGAGAAAGGAAAUCUAUUUUCAAUGAUCGAUUCGAGUUCGGAGUGUACUGAGGCUAAGGCUAAGCAUUCACACAUUGAUUUACCGACUUAAUUUAAAUUACUCAAUUUUAUUUUCACAAAUAUCAUUCUAUUAAUAUUUCAUUUCAUUUUAUUUUUCUUUAUCAACUAAACUCCCCCUUAUUUAUUUUUCAACUUUGCACGUACAGGUCAUGGGCACAAUAGCUGCCUAGACUCAGGAAUUCGGUCACAUAAAUAGGAAAAUUAGGAAUUUCAGGCAUGCAUAUCCCAACCCUUAUACAAAGAGUUGGCCAAAACAUAUGUCGGUAAGUCUAUCUCAACACUUAGAAAAUUGUCGGCCCAAAAGUGCCGUCUUAAGGUUAUUUUAUUGUACCUAAUUAAAGAUAUUUGACUUUCAAUUUAAUUACAAUAAAAAUUUCAUUUCAAACUCUUCAAUUCCUUAAACUUUUAAUCUUCAUAUAUGUACAAUGUUUUUAGAGAAUAAAAAUAUCUUUUAUAUUAAGUAAAGUACAUUGAAACCAAAUUUAUCAAUUCAAUUUCUUUUUCUUUUAGGGAAUAAUUACGUCACUAUCUUUUUUCUUGUUUCUAGUUUGUCCUUUCGUUUGAUCCUGCUGGCCUCUUAUUUAUUUUACAAUUAAUUAAUCUUGUUAUUAUUAUCAUUAAAUGUUAUAUUUCCCAAGUCUAUAUAUGUUUUGCUUAUGCAUUUGCCUUGUCUUCAUCUCCUCCUCUCCUUUUUUCAUUUUUUUAGUUUUUCCGAAUCAAGUCACAAUGUUGAAUAAGUUAAUGUUGGUCGCUUCAAGAACAAGAAGCAAACGACGAAAAGCGUUGUGUGAUGAUAGUAGCAAGUAGAGGAAGAAGACAUUGCCAGUAGAGGAGGUGCGGUUAUGUUGGAAAAAUUACAUUUUAUGGGAACUUUAAGGCAUAUUCUUAAUAGGUAAAGGUGGGGAGUUGAAUUAUAAAAUUAUGGUUUCAUAUUCUACUCCAUGAGACCUUUACAACGAUAUAUUAUAUGCUCAAAAUGGUUGAAUGAUGAAUGAGAAAUUGAUGCUCAAAGUAAGCUACUUGGAAAUAUUUGUUGAGGAAAAGUAAAAGCUUAGAUCCCACAUUGGUUAAACACCAAGUGUGAAAUAUGUAUAUGUAUAUAUAUAUAUAUAUAUAUGGGAACCCUCUUAAAAAGAAAUUGAAUGAUUAAGUUUGGAACCCUACCUUACGUGCAGGGAGUGCAAGUCCAAAUCUAUCGGGGUAAGGGGCACCCGCACGAGGUGGGCGACGUGAAAUGUUCGGACUAGUCAAGCCCAAGAUAUUUUAGUCCAACAUGAAAUUAUUUUUCCUUAGCAGACAUGAUUUUUUUUAUAAAAGGAAACUAAUCUUAUUUUAUUUGAUUCCAAUCAAUUUAAUUUAAUUUUUAAUCAAAUUGAUUUGUUGACUCCUUUAAUGGCAGAUUUUGUGAAACUUUUCAAAAAUUCCACCAUACUAAAUGCCUAUAAAAGGCUAUGAAUUCUGAAGAAUUUUUUUACACUCAUCCUCUCUUACACCGAAUUUAUUUUGCUCUCAAAAUUCUUCUUUUCCUCUCCUAUUUUCUAACGUUCCAGUGAUAGAAAAAGGCAACGUUUGUUCGUUGAUCGUUGCAGAGGUGUUUUUGCUUUGACCAUUGUGUUGUUGUAUCCUGGGAGAUAUUCGACCAAUGUUUCUCUAAGUACUGUAGGAGCAGCCAAAUUUGCCUUAAGGAAACUAUGUUUAACAAGCCUCAACAUUUAGUAAAUCUCUAUUUUUCUUUUCUAUUUCAACUUUUUGUUACGAUUUUUAUUGAUUUGCGUAUUUGAAAUUUUAAAUGUAAAUUAUUUUAUUUAUUUUUUAUUUUUAUAUAUAAAUAGUUAUUUAUUUAUAUUUAUAUAUUUUGUUCGCUAACGUAUUUUGUCUAACAGCGGCAACAAAUAUGGCAAUGUUGCAGUCUUCCAUCAAUGAUAAAGUGUCUUUGACUUUUUUUUAAAAACGGUCACCGAUCCUAACAACCAGAGCAUGCCGACAAAAAAAAAUCAAAAACCACACUAGUGUCGGCAAUGAGAAUGCCAACCCCAAAAAAGAAAAAAUCAAUUUCUUUUGAAAAUUUGAACCAAUGCCAUCAACGUGAACGUCAACACCAAAAAAGAAAAAAAAAUUAAAUUUGAACCUGUGCUGGCAACGUGAACACCGACACCUAUUAAAAUAUAUUUUUUAAAUCUCGGAAUAUCAAUAUUUUUAAAGUGUAUUUGAAAAACACAUAUUGGUGCCUGUGAACAUAGUGUCGCCACAAAAAAAAUAUUUUUUUAUAGACCAAACAAUCAUUACGAGAUGAUGGAAGAUGGUGCCAGCGAUGAGAUGGCCGACACCAACAUACACAGUAAAAACCAAAUCAUUUUUAUAUAAAAUUUUGUAUCUGGGCCACUUUCAUAAAUAAUCAAUUUAUUUGAAUCGGUUUUGGAUGAAAAAAAAAAACCCUCAAAUGGGAGAUUGUAGGCUUUGUAGUUGAGUUAUUUGGUGAAGAUUUUGAAGAGAUUAUGAUUUGAGUACCGAGUCCAAGUGAGAGAGUAAGGGAUCCAAGGCACCGAGAGCGUCUUUUCUUAGGUAUUGCUUUAUUUAAUGCUUGAUUCUGUUAUUAAUUUUUGGGAGUUUUGUACUUUUCUUUGGUGCUUGUACCUUUAUUAAUAAAAUUUUAUUUGUUGAGAAAAAUAGGUUAUUAGGGGAAAAACAGAAAAGAGGGAAAUAUUAAUGUCAUCUGAAUAAUGGAAAACUUCUAAUUUAUAAAAUUUUAAAUUAAUAAUAAUAAAAUUUUAUUUUAAUCCUCUAAAAUAAUAAAAUCUUAAUUUAUUUUUUAAAAGAUUAAAAAAUAUAAACUAUUAAAAUAAUAAAAUUAUAUUUUACUAUUAUAAUUUAAUAUUCUGAACUUCAUAUGUAUAUGAAUAUAUAAUUCACUGUCUGCCAAGAUCUGAAAUUAAUGUAACUCUUGAAAACAUCAAAAAAAUGUAUAAGAUAAAGCGAUGAUGCAUGGCACCCCCACCAAACGUGGUUGUCCAGUGCAGCAAAUGCUCGUCUUAUUAUUAUCACUAGUAUGGUUGUUUUACGCUUCGCGAUCAGUUAUUUAUUUGUUUGUUUUACUUUUAUAAUCGGAUGGAUGGUCUAAUUCAUCAGAUUACUAGUUGUACAGUUUUAUUAAAUAAAUUAUAAAAUCAAAAAUCAAAAAUCGAUUCAAUAGAUUUUUAUCCUAUCAAUUUGCAAGUAAAUAGGUCUAAUGUCCUCUUCAAUCAGUCCGAUCCGGUUCAAACAACCAUGACUCUAAGUCUCUACACUUCAUACAUUUGGAAUUUAAUCCCUCUACUUUUUAAAUUUAAAAAUUCAUUUUUAAAUUAUAUAUAACAAUAUAAUAAUUUAGUUGAAAAGUUAACGAUAUUAACUAUUUAAACUAAUUAAUGAUAUUAUAAAAAAUAUAGAGAGCAACUUAUGUUAGAAUUAAAAUAUAAAGAUUAAAUUUCAAAUUUAAUUAUAUCAAACGGACUAAAAUUGAAAAUUAUCUAUUUUAUAAAAUGCAAAAGGAAAUAAAAAUAACAUGGUAGGCGUAUGAGGGUAGUGCAACCCGGUAAAGUUGCCAUCACUUUAAUAAAAUUAAAAUUGGGCUAUUGAAAAUUAAUUUGAUUAAUUGAAUAAAUUAAAUAAAUCAUAUUUAUUUUUAUAAAUAGAAAAUAAAUAUUUGAUUGGAUUAAAUUAUAAAAUGUAGAGUUAAAAAUUUAUGAAGUACUACAAAAGAGACUUAAAAAAUUUGGAAGCACAUAUAAAUAUUAUUUGUGUUAUCCUUAUUCAAAUUCUUCUAACUAGUAGAACCAUUUACCUGGUUUUAACCCAAGUUUCAUAUAUUAUUCUGUAAAAAAAUAAUGAGAAUUUAUUUUUUAAGAAUAAAUUUUAUUUUUUGCGAAUAACAAUUUCUAUCGGUUUCUAUUUGACUGAAAGUGAUUAUAUCGUUUCAAGUUAUAUGUUUGAUUCGUAUUGUUUGAGUCCAUACUUAAAGAAAUUCGGUUUGGGAAUGAUACAAAUCCAUCACGCGCAAAACACAAAGUAAUUUUUGGGGAAAUUAAAAAAUUUUUAAAAAAAUCCAUUAAAGAAACAAAUAAACUUUAAAAAAUUGAACAAAAAAAGUGAGAGCCCAGUUAUUGUUGUCGGCUAUUAAUUCUUAUCUUAUUCAUAAAUUAUUAUUAAAUUGUAUUAGUAGCCGAGCAAAGUCAAGUAAAGUUUGAGGUUCAUUAAGAAAAGAAAAGAAAAAUCACUUCUUUCAAUUUCUUUCUUUGGAAACUCGGCUUCUUUAAGCUAUUACCACUAAUGGAGUUCCAGAUAUCCUUAUUCCAGCUCCUCAUCAGCUUCCUCCUGUUUUUGUUUAUGGUAAUCACAACUGUAAGGAGAUCAAAAGCUAAGAAUUUCACUCAAAAGUUGAUUCCAGGGCCAUGGAAAUUACCAUUGAUAGGAAAUCUGCACCAGCUCGCCGCUUCUGGUCUACCCCAUCGCACCUUACGUGACUUGGCUACGAAACAUGGUGACUUCAUGCAUCUGCAACUCGGUCAAGUUUCCACCGUGGUCGUUUCUUCUCCAGAAAUGGCUAAAGAGAUUAUGAAAACACAUGAUAUCGUCUUUGCUAAUAGGCCUUUUCUCGUUGUGGCCAAGAUGACAACUUAUGAGUGCACUGAUAUUGCCUUUGCACCAUAUGGAACCUAUUGGAGAAAUCUGCGGAAAAUUUGCACAUCGGAGCUUCUGAGUGCAGCUCGGGUCGCUUCCUUCCGAUCCAUAAGAGAAGAGGAAGUGUUGAAUCUUGUCGAAACCAUAAAAUCAAAUGAAGGGUUGGCUGUGAAUCUGACCGAGAAAGUUUUUUCAACGAGUUAUGCAAUAACAGCGAGGGCAGCCUUUGGCAAGAAAUGCAAAGAUCAAGAAGCUUUCAUAUUAGCUGCUGCUGAGGAAAGCAAGGUGAACUCGGGUUUCUUUGUUUCCGAAUUUUUUCCUUCACUUAAAUUCUUGGAUGUUGUUUCUGGUCUAAAGCAUAGAGUUGAAAAGAUUCAUGGAGAAACCGACAGGAUAGUUGGGAACAUUGUUAAUGAUCACAAACAAAGUAGAGCAAAAGGCAGAAGUGAAGAUGAAGACCAGGAAGAUUUGGUUGAUGUUCUUUUAAGGCUUCAGGAGGAUGGCGAAUUUCCCUUAACUGACAACAACAUCAAAGCUAUCCUCUUUGUAAGUCGAUUUCCUUUCACUACAUUGACUUGGAAUUUGGUAGUUGUUCACAAAUGUUAAUGGCCAUAAUGUUAUUUAUUACAUUGUUUUAGGACGUUUUCAGUGGCGGAAGUGAGACAUCAGCAACAGCCGUAGAAUGGGCAAUGUCGGAAAUGAUUAAAAACCCAAGAGUUAUGACAAAAGCACAAGCAGAGGUAAGGCAGGUGUUUGAAGGCAAAGGAAAUGUGGAUGAAACAGGCGUUCAUCAACUUAAAUAUCUCAAGUGUGUUAUAAAAGAAACCUUAAGACUGCACCCUGUUAUACCUUUAUUGAUUCCAAGAGAAAGUAGCAAGAAUUGUGUGGUUAAUGGAUUUGAAAUACCUGCAAAGACCAGAGUCAUUGUGAAUGCAUGGGCAAUCGGGAGAGAUCCUAAUCAUUGGGUUGAGCCUGAAAAGUUUGAGCCUGAAAGGUUUGUCAACAGUUCAGUUGAUUUCAUAGGGACAAAUUUCGAGUUCAUCCCAUUUGGGGCAG